AACGAACGCUGGCGGCAGGCUUAACACAUGCAAGUCGAACGCUCGUAGCAAUACGGGAGUGGCAGACGGGUGAGUAACGCGUGGGAACAUACCCUCCGGUUCGGAAUAGCUCAGGGAAACUUGGAUUAAUACCGGAUACGGCCGAGAGGCGAAAGAUUUAUCGCCGGAGGAUUGGCCCGCGUUCGAUUAGCUAGUUGGUG
rnacentral:rRNA from 1 species